rnacentral:rRNA from 1 species
UACGAAGGGGGCUAGCGUUGUUCGGAAUUACUGGGCGUAAAGCGCGCGCAGGCGGUCCUUUAAGUCAGGGGUGAAAGCCCAGAGCUCAACUCUGGAACUGCCUUUGAAACUAGAGGACUUGGGUACGGGAGAGGAGAGUGGAAUUCCCGGUGUAGCGGUGAAAUGCGCAGAUAUCGGGAAGAACACCCGUGGCGAAGGCGGCUCUCUGGGACGGUACUGACGCUGAGGAGCGAAAGCCAGGGGAGCAAACGGG